AUUGAACGCUGGCGGCAGGCUUAACACAUGCAAGUCGAGCGGGGAUUGGGUGCUUGCACCUACUCUUAGCGGCGGACGGGUGAGUAAUGCUUAGGAAUCUGCCAUUUAGUGGGGGACAACAUUCCGAAAGGGAUGCUAAUACCGCAUACGCCCUACGGGGGAAAGCAGGGGAUCUUCGGACCUUGCGCUAAAUGAUGAGCCUAAGUCGGAUUAGCUAGUUGGUGGGGUAAAGGCCUACCAAGGCGACGAUCUGUAGCGGGUCUGAGCGGAUGUUCCGCCACACUGGGACUGAGACACGGCCCAGACUCCUACGGGAGGCAGCAGUGGGGAAUAUUGGACAAUGGGCGAAAGCCUGAUCCAGCCAUGCCGCGUGUGUGAAGAAGGCCUUUUGGUUGUAAAGCACUUUAAGCGAGGAGGAGGCUACUUAGAUUAAUACUCUGGGAUAGUGGACGUUACUCGCAGAAUAAGCACCGGCUAACUCUGUGCCAGCAGCCGCCGUAAAAC
rnacentral:rRNA from 1 species